UAUAUGAUUGGGAUUUAACCGCAUCUGAUUUCAUGGGUUCUGCGUUUGUCAUUCUCAGUGAUCUUGAGCUUAACAGAUUUAUUUCAUGAUUUAUUAACUGAAAGUUGUGGGUUUUUUGAGACCUGGUAAUCAUCGUAGGCCCAGGGGCUUUAGAAGAUAACAAUUAGAUUAAGCAUUGUGGACUACAUGCCUUGAAGAUCACAAGACAGUGACACUCUCGAGAAGGCAUCUGUGUGUGAAGAAAUGCACAGUGAUUUCCUGGAGAACAUUAUGCUUGAAUUACCUGCUCUGCUUUUGUCUUAGAUAAAGUUAUUGAUUAGUUACUCAUUAUAUCACACCUUAAGAAUUUUUUGUAAAACCUCUUCCCUGUAAAAAGGAUAUAUAAGCUCACUGUUAACUGGCAAUAAACGACAUCUCUUCUGCUCACAACAGA